GGAACUCUGGGUAGGACAGUGACUGUAUCGAAGCGUCAGCGCAACAGACCAUGGGAACCAGGCUGAACACGACAUACCGCUGUGUGGAGGCUUUCUCGAGUUAGAUAGCUCUAUGUUGUCCGAAAAUGAGUGGAUUGUUUCUCACGAUUGCUUUACUGGCUUUACAGCAUAGAUCAAUAGUAAAUGGUCAGGCGUAUAACCUAAUAUCUUCCUGUGGAACUCAACUGCGUAAUGGAUGUAUUUUGACUUGUGUGACGGGAGAUGCCUCAGAGACUCCGAUUAUAUGGACAAAGACUGCAACUGCCCCUUAUGAAGUGAAUCGAGCAUCAUGUACCACGUCCAUUCCACAAGUUCCAGCUGAUUAUGAACUCAACUGUCCUGGAACUAACUAUACUCUAACUAUCACAACUGUAUCUGAAAGCAGGGAUGUCAGUGUUUGGACAUGUGCUACUAGUUUGGGUGGAAAGGAAAGCAAUAAUAUUACAUUAAUCCCAGUUGCAACAACAGUAUCA